rnacentral:rRNA from 1 species
UACGAAGGGGGCUAGCGUUGUUCGGAUUACUGGGCGUAAAGCGCACGUAGGCGGAUUGUUAAGUGAGGGGGUGAAAUCCUGGAGCUCAACUCCAGAACUGCCUUUCAUACUGGCAAUCUAGAGUCCGGAAGAGGUAAGUGGAACUCCUAGUGUAGAGGUGGAAUUCGUAGAUACUUAGGAAGAAACACCAGUGGCGAAGGCGGCUUACUGGUCCGGUACUUGACGCUGAGGUGCGAAAGCGUGGGGGAGCAAACAGG